rnacentral:rRNA from 1 species
UUCUUUAAGGUAUAAAUUAAAGUAAAACCUGCUCAAUGAAACAACUUAAAUAGCCGCAGAAUACUCUGUGCUAAGGUAGCAUAAUCAUUAGUCUCUUAAUUAGAGAAUAGUAUGAAUGGCCAAACGAUACUCUCACUGUUUCUACACUACACAAUAAAACUAAAAUAAAUAGUUAAAAUCCAUUUAAAUAUAAGAAAGACGACAAGACCCUGAUAAACUUAACAUUUAACUGGGGCGGUUAAUAAAAAACAACUUAAAUAUAAAACAAUAACAAAUCUAAUCAAUAAUUAUAACAGAUUAAGUUACUACAGGGAUAACAGCGCAAUAUUCUUCAAAAGAUCAAAUACAAAAGAAUGUUUACGACCUCGAUGUUGAAUUAAUUUAUCUUAACUAGGGCGUAAAAGCUAUAAAAAGACAGUCUGUUCGACUAAUAAAGAAUU